rnacentral:rRNA from 1 species
UCCACUGAACCUUAUCAUUUAGAGGAAGGAGAAGUCG